rnacentral:rRNA from 1 species
ACUGCUCAGUAACACGUGGAUAACCUGCCCUUGGGUCCGGCAUAACCCCGGGAAACUGGGGAUAAUUCCGGAUAACGCACAUAUGCUGGAAUGCUUUAUGCGUCAAAUGGAUUCGUCUGCCCAAGGAUGGGUCUGCGGCCUAUCAGGUAGUAGUGGGUGUAAUGUACCUACUAGCCGACGACGGGUACGGGUUGUGAGAGCAAGAGCCCGGAGAUGGAUUCUGAGACAUGAAUCCAGGCCCUACGGGGCGCAGCAGGCGCGAAAACUUUACAAUGCGGGAAACCGUGAUAAGGGGACACCGAGUGCCAGCAUCAUAUGCUGGCUGUCCGGGUGUGUAAAAUACACCUGUUAGCAAGGGCCGGGCAAGACCGGUGCCAGCCGCCGCGGUAACACCGGCGGCCCGAGUGGUGAUCGUGAUUAUUGGGUCUAAAGGGUCCGUAGCCGGUUUGGUCAGUCCUCCGGGAAAUCUGACGGCUUAACCGUUAGGCUUUCGGAGGAUACUGCCAGGCUUGGAACCGGGAGAGGUAAGAGGUACUACAGGGGUAGGAGUGAAAUCUUGUAAUCCCUGUGGGACCACCUGUGGCGAAGGCGUCUUACCAGAACGGGUUCGACGGUGAGGGACGAAAGCUGGGGGCACGAACCGGAUUAGAUACCCGGGUAGUCCCAGCCGUAAACGAUGCUCGCUAGGUGUCAGGCAUGGCGCGACCGUGUCUGGUGCCGCAGGGAAGCCGUGAAGCGAGCCGCCUGGGAAGUACGGCCGCAAGGCUGAAACUUAAAGGAAUUGGCGGGGGAGCAC